CUCCCAUCUGGACUUGCAGUGACAGCACAUGUACAGCAUCAGGCAGACGCAGCAGUCUGGGGUCUUUCUCAGCCCCUCUUGGGAUUGCCUGCCAGAAGGUCGACAGCCUGAGCUCAGCUGGAAAGUGAAAUGCCAGCAUGUGCCUCUGGAUCUUGGGACUGCCUCAAGGUGCUCCAGAGACUCCAAAGGUGCUCUGAUAUGACGAUCGCUCCCCAUGCCAAGUCCUUGUGAUAGCGACAGGGGGAAGCUCUGACCUGCAGCCUUCCUUUUUCCAGUGUAAAAGCCAGCAGCGAAGGUUCACGGGACCGUGAAAGACCCACAGCUCUCCCUCCAAACACCCCACUGGGCUCCAGUCUGCAGCAGACGGGCCAGUCCCUUUUACAACAGUCCCUAUUUCAAGCCUGCAAUGCUUUUAAAUAUGACAGCGUGUGGGCGGGAAGCGGUGUAUCAGAUGGAGCACUGUCUCAGCUUCGUGAGCCUGCAGAAUAAAGAAACGGCACAAUAUUGCCUCCGCGGACAGCAGCCUUUCCUGGAACAUUAGACUGAAGCAGCGAUGUGGUAACAGAGACUCUGGCCUCUCUAGAUUGUGUUCCUGGAAAAGCCGUUCAAUUAUUGAUAAGGGUCGCACUGACAUCACCAAAAGACAAUGAGGCUCUUGCUUGCCUUUAAUAAUUUCUUACUCAGCAGAUCUUUCACUUACAGCUCAGCAGAAUUGGCAUUGCAGACACAUCAGCUAAAAUACAAUAUGCAUGCUGGAAAGACAGACAGGCGACUGCCCGGCUUUUUUGUUUGCAAACUGGAAAGGAAUAUAGAGCCGGGACACCAGGUCGAUUCUGCUUUGCAAAAUGCUAACUGCCAUUAUGGACUUGGCACAACCGGGUUUUCUUUCCUGCUGAUAACGUUUGGUCCUUGUUCAUUGUUCAGAGCUGCUCUUGAAUUCCUCCUCCCCCACUUAUCACAUAUGCUGGAGAGGAGGAUUUCCCAAUAAAGGUAAAGAGAAGGGACUGAUACUAAUGCUCCUGAUCUAAUUCAAUUUAACAAUCACUACUCUAGCUAGUAAAGCUGCUGCUGUUUUGUUCAAAGUAUAGUGCUGACAGCAUAUGCAGGGAGAAGCAUUAACCCCAUCUGCUCCUUGUAUGAGGUUUAGUAUUCCAAGAGAACUUUUUUAAUUAGAGAGGAAAGCUUUAAGCCUAAACGUCCCUUUGAAGCCUGGAACAGGCUUGUUUCUGUGAACAUGCCCUACAGAAUCCGCACCAAGAUGGAAGCAGGGUGAAAUUUUGGAGGACCCUCAUGAGAUUCUCGCACUCUUAAACCUGAACUCAUAGCAAGUUUGGACCAGAAGUACUCCAUCUGGAGUACUGCAUCCAGCUCUGGGGUCCCCAGUACAAGACAGACAUGGAGCUGCUGGAGUGAGUCCAGAGGAGGCCAUGGAGAUGAUCAGAGGGCUGGAGCACCUCUCCUAUGAAGACAGGCUGAGAGAGUUGGGGUUGUUCAACCUGGAGAAAAGAAGGCUCUGGGGACAACUUAUAGCAGCCUCCCAGUACCUAAAGGGGCCUACAGGAAAGCUGGAGAGGGACUGUUUACCAGGGCAUGGAGUGACAGGACAAGGGGUAAUGGCCAUAAGCUGAAGGAGGGCAGAUUUAGGUUAGAUAUGAGGAAGAAAUUCUUCCCUGUGAGGGUGGUGAGGCCCUGGCACAGGUUGCCCAGAGAAGCUGUGGCUGCCCCUGGCUCCCUGGCAGUGUUCAAGGCCAGGUUGGAUGGGGCUUUGGGCAACCUGGGCUAGCGGAGGGUGUCCCUGCCCAUGGCAGGGGGUUGGAACUAGAUGGGCUUUGAGGUCUCUUCCAACCCAAACCAUUCUGUGAUUCUAUGAUUUCUGAGUCUCCUGGUGGUGGCUGCCCUUCACCUAACUAAUGGGAUCACCAGCUGCCCGUGAAGUAAGGAGACUCAUAAGAAAAUGGGAGAGAGAGACUUCUGUAUCAGCAGAUCUGAAUGUCAGGCAGGGCUUCCCAUUGGUCUCAAAAAAUGAGAUCUGUAACUUCCCAGAAAUUCUACACGGUGCUGCAAAAUCAAAACCGUGCACCAGUGUCACACCUGGGGAAGGGACAGCCUGGUCGUGGAGUUUCACUUCAGCACUUCCAUUUUGUCUGAGGUCUCUGCAGCCUCUGGUUCUAUCAAACCAACUGCUUUUCCUCUUCCACGCAGUUUUAACAGCAAGAGGUACAUGCGUGUUUAAGGAACCUGUUUACUGUGCAAAGGUAAACAGUCAGGUUCCAUUUUCACAAUCACUCCUGUGUUAGAGGUAGAUGCAAACAUCGGGUUGCCAGCGCUACUGCGUCACAGAUGCAAACAAUUUUCAUCAGGGUGAAAGCCCGGAUGGUACCACCAUGGCAACCAAUUUUAAAUAGAAACAAUAGGCCAGCUCCUUCGCUGAAAUAAAGGCACAGGACCCAAGGAACUGGUUCCAUAUUCGUACAACAGACAGUAACAUUUUUGAGCAUUCAUAUUUUCUGUGUUUUUAUUGCUUCUUUCCUCAGAGCAUUUCAACAUGCUGUUUGCAAUUUAUAUGCAGUAAAUACUAAUGAAAUGAAGCCAUCUCUGUGUGGCUAGCAGCAGUCAGAAAACAGCAUGGUGGAUAAAGGAAGUUCUUGCCAACUUCUUUAUCUUUCCAGUUACAGAAUCUUUAAAUCCCAUGCAGAGAAGUCAGUCCAGUUUUUCCCUUGAAAAUCUCAAAAAAAUAACCAACAAAUCAUUAACGUUGGAAAGAUGAAGUGCUGAAUCAUGCCUCCCAUGCUUUAGAACUUGUGUUCCACUGCGUCUAAUUAUUUCACACUUGCUACAUAAAUCUUUGAAAAGCCUCUUCCAAGAACAUUCAUGGUGAGGGCUGAAAAAGAGAAAGUUCUGAUGAACAGUCUCACAUGGGGACAAUAGUUCUGGUCAAGCUCACUGAACUUAAUGUUGGCUUAUCUCAUAGGAAUGGGAUUUUAUUUGGCCCCAAACAACCUCAAGCCAACUUGAAAUUGCCGUGAGAACAGUACAGUCAAUGUGCAGCUGACUGAGCGUGUAGAAACCGCAAGAAAAUGUUGAACAUAUUUUGAAGCAGUUUAACCAGUGUCUUUUGUGUAUCCGAAAUGAGGUGAAAGUAUGUUAAAAUCGCACCAGAUCUCUCUCCCUUGUUGCAGCCAGCAAGCCUUAAACAGAGUCACUGGGUGUAGAAAUUGGAAACUACUUCUCACUGUUGCUUGGGUAUUGGGGAUGAGGAGUUGUUAUUAAAAAAACCCCAAAACCGAACAAAACAAACAAACAAAAACCCCCUAACCUACAGCAAAUUCAAGAAGGGCAUGUACCAAGUACUCCACAGCUCUUAAUUCUGAGAAGGAACUUCAGUGCUCUGGCAUUGUUUUCCCCGGUGCCAUUCUUAUCUGACAGGUAGUAUCAGUUGCCAGAAACAAUGCGGGUUUAUUCUGUACUGUGUAUUCUAAUAGAAAUGGAGCUGAAUACUUGUCAUAGUCCUUUGGGCAGGGCUCCUUACUGCUGCAGAGUUUAAUAUUGAGAUUGGCAACAUUAAGUUAGCUGAUGUAAUCCAUUCCAUUACAGAUAUUUACGGCACGCCAUAUUACAAUACAAAGGCAGAGGUUUAGAGACUGGAAAGAUGUGACAAGCCAAAAAGCCAACCCAUUCAAAACUGAGACUGACACUGCAGGGGUCUAUUCCCCUCACUGUACGUUCACAGAAAUUUCUUUUAAUGCCAUUAGGAGCAUACGUGAUGCAAAAUUCAGAUCAGGCAUAAAGCAAACGGCAGCUCCACUGAUGGCAAACAAAGUCGCUGUUAUACACACCGCAUCUGACUGUAGAUCUGUCUUUAACCAGUGACUCACGAUCACCAGCGUGUAUUGUCCAAAGUCACUCCUAGGUUUCCCCAUUCUUUGGCCAAACAUCACAAGCCUUGGUUUAUUGUAACGCAGGGGGAAGGAGCAGCAUAGAGGAGUGUUUGUUCCUCUCUCUGGCAGCCUCUUUAUACUCCUGCAGUAGCCCAGGAGCUGAUACAGUGAUCUGUGAGUUAUUACAAGUCAGAAAACUAUGUGCAGCUUAUUUAUGCUUUCACAGUCCUGGAUAUUUCCUUCUUGAAUUUCUUGCCUACCUCCAAGUCUCAUCAAGCCUCAUCAAGCAGCUCUUUCAGAUUGGAGGGCAGAAGCUGAGUGACUCCCUACCCGUUUAAGAGCCCAUUUCUUUCCUGCAGCUCUCCUGGAGGAUCUGCGGCGUCCGUUGUGCAGAAUCAGCACUUUCAUUAGGCUUAAUGGGGCCUCUUCUUGUGGAAGACACUCGUAACCGAGGAAUUUCUAUUACAGAGCAUCGAGGAGAUAUACACCCCACACUGCCUGGUGCUUGCGAUUUAAAGUGAAAAACAUACUGAUAAUGUGGUAUGAAUGCAGUGCUGUGUUUCCGAUGCAGAUGGGCCCAAACCAAGAGCUCACUUCCCUGAAUUUCUUCAAGUUCAAGGGAGGCUGGAGCCAAAGUGCUUAACUGAACAGUCUAACUUUUACGUUUAGUUUUAUUUGUCAUGGAAGUGGCAAAAUUUGCUUUAUGAAACAACUGGUGUUUGCCACACCAUUAAAUCAGUUUCUUGCCUUUUGCAAUGGCUUCUCAGUGCUGUUGGUAAAAAUAAUGCUGCUUUUCCAGUACAUGAUGUAAAGCGAUUUCAGCUGCGUUUUUUCCAUUCCUGACCUCUGCAAUGCUGGCAUUUUAGACAGUUUUAUACACUUAUUGAUUACCUGAUGUACUGUUCUAAUUUCUAGGAAGUAAGAACAUAGCCCUUAAAUCAUCCAGACUCUGAAAUGUUUUAAUUUCCUCAAGUAAAUAGAGCAUAUUUUGCCAGGAAUCUUAAACGUACGAUACGUGGAUCUGAUUCCACUUUUACACAAGUCUUGUAUAACUCCCUUCACUUCAGUGAAAUUACUCCUGAUUAGCAUUGAGAAUCAGGCCCAGAAUAUGGGGAGGAGAGUGGGUUAAUGCCAUUUUUUCUGACAUUGAGUGCUUUAAAAGCACUCCGAGAUUGUAACCCAUUACCAUUUCUCGGUAAGUGCCCUCUGAGAGGAUUGGGAAGGAUUGAAGAGUUUUUAACCAGUAAGUCACUUCAGGUCUUUCCCAAAACAGGAGAGGUUUAGCCAUUUCUAGCUGCUGGCUAUUUGGUGAUUAUGUAUAGUCGGUGAGCUGGUGGUCAUCGACCGGUGAGCAAGUGUCCACACCACAACUGCUGCUAUUGAGUUAGUUCCCUUGCUGGCAAUCUGGAAAGAGGGUGAAUGGAGCAUGGGUCUGGUUCCCUUCCCAGGCUUUGCAAGUUUUCCUGUCAAGCAGGAAGGAAAGUGUUUUAUCAAAACGCUUUACAAAAGUGUAUUAUUUCCCUCAUCCAGAACUGUCAUGCUCCAGCGCCUAAACACGAAGGCUGAUAUUCUCUAACAGCCCCAUCAAACUCCCACACCGUAGAUGACUGCUACAAGUUAUAAGCACUCCCAAAAUAGGGCUGGAUUUUCACAGCGAUAAUUGAGAGCCGUAACUUUCCACCAGGGAGGCUCUGUAGGUGGGAGCAACAGCAGAGACAGUCAUAUCAACAGAGUCAAGGCUUUUUACCAGGAUGUUAUCUAAUUUUGUUAUAGUAUAUAUACACCGUAAUCCUAUCAAUGUAUAGACUUUCUUUACUGGAUGUGUCCUGUACGCUCCCCAGAACCCUAGGGAAGCUAAGAAAAAGACUUUGUCCUUAUGACUGCCCUAAGCCCUGAUUCAGGAAAAUGUUCAUAUUCAGCUUAAGCUUUGUGGACACUGUUGAAUCGUGCUGGCUUCAGUGAACUGAUGACUAGAAAAACUGUUCAUGCAGGGUUUUGUUUCCUUCAGAACAACUGAAAAGGUUACUUAGUGCUACCACGACUAAGGAAAACCUUAAACCACCACCAACCACUCAUUAGCUCAGUUCUGACGUAAAUAUCGGGAUAUCUAAAUGCAAGUUAAAUAACAAGACGCUAAACAGAGCAAUAUUCUCAGUCACUGCAAGCAAUAAUUGUUGUUCUUUUGGGACUGCAUGGCCAGAAAACUGGAAUCAAAGAACACUUAUGGUCACAUUCUCAUCGGGUACGCCGCCACCUCAAUCAAAUAACGCGAGCUGCACUGCAGCAACUGCUGUUGAGAUCAGAAUCUGCAUAUAGAUAUUCUGCCUCUCAAGUUCUAAAAGUACUGUUGUAUUUCAAGGCAAAGAGAAAAGAGAGAACAAAUAAGACAAUUUAUUGCUGCAGAUUAUUUUUAUGCCUGUGUGCUCCAUUUAAGAGAAUAAUCUGUAAAUGACUUAUUAUCAAGAAAAGUUAUUUGUUUGCACUAAUCAAGCCUUAAACUUGGAGGCAUAAUAUGGAACUAAUUAUUUUUAACUAACUAAUCAACAUGUUUCAUUCAUAAGUUGGGAUUUAUCAAUACAGCACAUGAAAGGAGAGAACAUAUUAUUAUUUCAAUUUAGAUAAUAUGCAAAAAGCACUGUGUUUGUAAUGACCUGCUUUCACUGAAUAUAAUCAAGCUCCAAAGCUCUAUUACAGGCUGGAAAUAGCAGCAGCUUACUUUAAUGAGAUUUCUGGCUCUGGGCCCCAGCUGUUCUACGCAAGGCUCUCCCUUUGCUCUAUGACCUACCAAUAUGUGCUGUCACCAGUAAUGAGACAGGACCUAUUUCCUAACAUGGGGAAAAACUGGAAAGCAUGAGUUCAUUCUACUCUGUCGGUGGAAACACACCCUCUUUCCCCUGCAAGGCAGAAGGAGGGGAACACUGAAUAUCCAACAUCCCCCCCCCCCCCCGCCUUGCCAGUGGAAAUAUGACAUGAAACCCAUAAGGUAGAGAACUCAAAGGUAAGACCGAAACUCUCUUCUUAACUCGUUCCCUUAGCACAUAGAAAACCAAUAUUCAUUAGGCACAUACAGAAUACGUCUCUCCCCUGUGAAGUACCCCAGCAGAGGACUUUACAUUAUCUGCAAAGCAUGGGGAAGGGGGAACAGUAGCACUCAGGCUCUGAAUUUUAUGGAUUUUGUGGAAUUAUGCUCAUCUCAGAGCCGUGUUGGGAAUGUGCCAGGAGCCAAAGAACUGCACUUAAUUUGCCUAAAAUGGAGCAGAUUACCACUGCUCUCCUUUUUAUUAAUGGAGAUGCAGCCUGGAGACUACAGAUUCCAGCAAGCAACACUCCAAAGAGCCAAGCAGCCCAGGCGCUGCGCUGAGACAGCAUUGCACGCUGCGAGCCAGCCCCGAGGACGGGGUCUGAGAUACGCAGUAAGGGGUACCGUGACUCCAGGGUGGAAAAAAGACACCAAUCUCAUUUUGGUCACUCUGAAUUGGACUCUUAAUAUUCUUCUCUUUGCCUUUUUAUUAUUAUAGCCCACACUUUUCAGAACUUCUGUUCUUGAAAAUGUUUGAUUAGCUAACAUUUGAGAGGGUUAUGCUAUUUUUAUCCUUGAGCGGUCUCUUGGAUUCAUUAACACUUUGCACGUGAAUCUGUUUUUUUAGGACAAGAAGCCAGUGCUUUUUCCCUGAAUAGCAUUGUUAAGUAUUUCAGGAAUCUAAAAUCCACAAACUAUUUCUGUGCCCUGAAUACAAAACCUCUUUGGAAAAAGCCAAUGAACAUUUUAGUCAGAAAAUUGGAAGGUGUGUGUUUAAUGCACUUUGAAAUUAAAUGAUUUGGUGCUCUUCAAUUUGUCUUUUUGCCCUUCCCAAAUACCCAAAGGCACUAGCCCACUUUGUAAAUGAAUAGGCUAUGAAAUCUUAUUUUGAGAAAUGAAGGUGUCACCGAGUUGCAGGAAAAAUUAUACUUAGCACCACUGCACUUUGUAAGCCCUGACUAAUUGGCCCUUGCAACAGCCCUGAUGCAUUCCUCCUUCAUCAGGAGGAAUUAAAUAACCAAUUCUUUUCUUUUAGAAGUGGAAGAACCCAAACCCAAAAGACUGAGAAGCCAAGACUCCAUAGCAUAAACAUUAAAUGCACUGAAUGAGUACUGCCUUCCGGAUGCCUCUUGGACAACGGGUGGGUGCCCACGGACAGGCUGUCCUGGCACGCCUGGGGCUGGCUCGCCCGCUGCACUCUGCCUCAGCCUCCCAAAUAUUUGGAAAAGGGCACCCUGGCUGUGCCCAGGCUGUGCUUGCAGGCUAACCCCGUUCCCGGCAGACGAGCCUCUCUUGAAAGGGUUUCGGGGCAGCCGUUGGCACACAGACCAGGCACCAGAGAGGUAUCUCCCUUUUGCUUCCCCCACAGAUGCAAUGCUGUGAUGCAGUUGUGAUCAAAAUUUAGGAACUUUCAGCUUCAGAAAUCCCAUCAAAGCCUGCGGUGGGCAGACAAACACCUGUCGUGUGCUUUUUUCCUUCUACAAUUUCAGAAAUUACAAAGUUAGCUUUCAAAUUUGCAUUUUAAAGCUCUGUAUCUGUGUGGAAUUUUUUUGUCCAGCUUGAAGAAGCGGUAUCCUUACAUGAAAAAAGAAAAAUGCAUUUCCAAAGGCCACAUUGCCAGAUUUUGAAGUACAGUUGUAAGAACACCACCACCUUUGCAACACUACCUAUUUCCUCUUCUAAAUUAUUUAUCUAUUUCUUGUAUUUUACAUGAGCCAUGGAAGCUAGAGGCAUUUUUGCAGUGUCAGGUCAUUCUGAAGUACAUUCCAUACAAAGAAUAGGGCUGGAAAAUACAGUUGUAUGUAAAAUUGUUCAUUAAUAUUACAUAAUUACUGCACACGAAAUAGUUCUCUGGGCAGUGAUAAGGAUUUUUUUCAUAAAGACUAAAGACUCCAAGGCAAUGUAUUCCAUUAAGGGGUUGCUUAACGUAGGAGGGUAUAUCAAUAUCUAUAGUACCUUGAUCCAGUUGCAGAAAAAUGACGAAGCCAGCUUAGCCAAAUGAAGCCAUUAGCAUGUAUAAUGUGUUUUACACAAGAGUUAAAUGGUUUACCGGGUUUAGAAAAUCAUACUUUGAUAUUGCAAUGACCAAGCUGAGAUAUGAUCUAGCAAGCAGCAGUUGCAGCUGCAUCAGCACAAAAAUGAACUGUUGGAUUUUCUCUGCGACCCAGAGAACAUUUUCUGCAGUCUUUGAAAAUUGCUCUGAAAUAAAAAAAAAAUUCUUUACGUGUAGGCUAAUAUUAGCUACUGACAGCUUGCCUAGAGUUUUUAGAUCAGCCUUCCUGGAGCAAUUGUUUAGGAUAAAAUGUUGAUGCAGCUUUUCAGGUCUGUUGGUUGCCUUUACUACUAUUGAACAUGAGCAAGUCCUGCGUCUUAUGCGAUACAUUAGACCUAAAGUAAUGUGGAAGUAAUAAUCCCAUAAAGGAUGCCUUUGAAUUUUAGUAUAGCCCUACUUCCUAAAGUCCUUGUGCUCUAUGUAUAGUGUUAGUUUUGACUUUUAAUUUGACUUACUGAAUUGUGUUAAUAUGCUGUAGACUGUUGUAUGGACAAGACACAACAACCCUUAUUCAUAUAAAACUGGAGAUCUGGACAUCCCGGUAGGGUUUUUCACAUUCAAGAAAACAUCAGGCCUUGUUACAGUUUUUGAGAUAUAAGAUACAGGUGAUAAUUCUACUCCUAGAAGAGAUUCAUAUCCUCUUUCUGCUCCUUUUUUUUUUAAGGCAGAAGAUGACUUUAAGUGUACAGCAGUGUGACUUGAAUUCUCGCAGCGUUAAAUAGGUGCAUCAGUCUGCUGUUUGGGUAAUCAGCAGUGUGUGUGGUGUUAAUGUUUGAAGUUCGUGUGUUGAGUCACCGAGGGUUCACCUUUCUUUCCAGAUGACACUGUGACAGCUGCAAUCAGCAGAUGCAUGAGAGCUGACAGUCCUUUGAUUUUAAAAAAAGCAGGGUUGCUGGCAAGGCAUUUUCCUUAAGGAGUUCCUUCUAAGCUCUGUAAGUCAUUCCACUUCUUAGCUCAAUAGGACCUUGAUUUGAUAACACUCAGGGUAUAUCACAAACAGCACAUCUGCUCUCCUGGAGUCUCCCAGGAUGAGUGGUGUGACUGAGCUGGAGAGGCUUCUUCAUGGGGAUUCCUUUUUUUCAGGUUUAGUUUAUCUGUGAGCUAAUUCUAUUAACUUAUCGUUAAUGAUUCCAUGUCUUAGGGGUCAUACGACCUUACCAAGGCCACGCGGUCCACCUGGCAGAAUUGUUUUGUUUUGCCGUGAAGAUCUUCCCCUUUGCUGUGUUUCAUUGGGUGUGUAACACCAAAGGGUUGAAUGGGCAAGCAAACCACAGAUCUCAAGAUUGUUUCUGAGUAAAAAGUGAGCAAACAGAUUUCUCUACACCAGUUCAGCCAUCCUCAAUUCUUCCUGUGACCUGAGUCACAAUCGAGCACUUACUGGGUGAUGUGUUACGGUGAGACUGUCAGAAUACAAGCAGGCUAAGAAAUCUAAUCCUCAGAGGAGAGCAGUAUGUUCCCACUUGUGAUUUAGUCUCACAGUGAAGAGGCUGUCAAGGGGUUUGCAGUCCUGGAGAUUGAUUCGGGGGGAGCCUGCUUAGUGCACAGUGCCACUGGCAGUCAUCAGCUAAAGCUGCCUAAUGAUGUCAGCUGGAGUGGCCAGGGGAAUCCUCUCCUGUAAGGUAGCCAGAAGAGCUAAAUUGCUUCCAGAAAUGAAUCCAUUAGGUACUGAUAGUGAUUAGUGUAAGGUACCAUAAUGACUAAAAGUACUUCAAGUGUAAUUCAGUCUGAAAUCUCUUCCAGGUGAGAGGUGUUAGAUACAUCACGACUGAGGUGCCGGUACCUGUUUGGUGGAUGGGGCAGCAAAUCUGGGCACUGACUCACCGCUCUAUGUGAGCAAAUGUGAGAGAGAAAACUCUCCCUCUUCCCUCCCACUGAAAAUAUCCUUGGGUAUUUCUUGUUGAGGAAAAGGGAAAUUUAGGAUUAAAUAUCUAAAUUAGUUAGAUUCACAUUAUUUAGAUACCCAAGGGUUGGUUUGGGGUUUUUUUUUAAUUAUUUCAAUCUUAUGUUUCAAGUUUCAUCCAAAAGUUAGGUCAUGGUACAAGCUACAGGAAAAUCAGCAUGUCACUUGCUACAUGAUAAAGGGUUGAUUUGACUGUGCAAAGAUUUGAGCUUAUGGCUUGAGUGAUUUAAGAAAUCUUCCUCAUACCACUAGCUAUAUGUUGAAUUUGAGCCAUAAGAAGGUUUUUAGGAAUGCUUGUCACUAUUUUAAUGUGCCGGUAAUGAAAAGCAACAACAACAUCUUCAUCGCUCCAUGGAAACUAGCUUGGUUUUGCAGUGUUAGACAGCUGGGAAAGGAAGAUUCUCUCCUGUAAAAGAAGGUGGCAAAUGAAACUCUAUUGCUAUUUAAAGUAAUUAAUUUUAAAAUGUGUGACAAUUUUUUAAGCUAAUCAUGUAGUUGAUUUGAUGAUUAGUUUCUGUAAAAGUUAUGUGAGAAAAUCCUGUUGGUUUUCAUGCAUUCCAAAUAAAGCUCAGACACAUUAUUUGAGACGCUCUUUACGUCAUCCAGUCAUCAAAGCGGCAAGUGCCUCACAGGUUGUUAAAUGCACUUAUUUAUAGACACUACUCACUUUCUUUAGGGAUUUGUUCUUCUUUGCAACCAAAUGUAGUGACUGCAAUCCCUGUAUAUUGUUCAGGCAUUUUUCCUCAAAGGGGCUUAAUAAAAUGACACAAAUCCCGCCGGGCAGCUGAUACCAUCACAAUGUCAGCCGUUAGGAAACCUCCCAUGGUUUCAGCAAACCACGUUUGUCAAGCAAAGUGAUUAAAGUCAGAUUUUGGAAUUUCUGCUCAUAUCACUCUAGCUGAUCUGCAUCUACCCUAACGCAUCGCAAGGGUGUGCCUGAAAUUAAAUUAAGGCCAUCUACUCAGUCUUUCCCAAACGAUUCAUGUCACAGCAAUCUACUGCUGGAGCCAGGUUCACAGCUUCUUGACAGAAGUGCUCGUUAACCCUGAAUCUGAUGGUGAUGAUGAUGACAAUAAUCACAGUAUGACUAGAGAAACACAGAGGAAAGUAAUACUUAAUAUCAGAUGGGCUCACAUAGGUUGCAAAGAGUAAACAAAAGGGGAAAUGAUAACCCAGUACUUACAUGUUCACAAACAAUUAUGUUUUCACCAUACGUAAACAAGUCUAUUUUCACAUGUGGAAACAAGGUAUAUACAAUUGCAAAGAAAAAAGUUUAUUUAAUAAAACUGUUGAGAAAUACUGGGUUUGGUAAAAAUAUCUGUAUCAUCCAAACUUACAGUCAGUUGACUGAGUAGGUUAGAAAGAGCCUUGGAGGAAGUAGCAGUGGGCACUCCACUACUAAAUGAGAAUUAUUCAGGAAAUGUUUCUGCAUGUUUCCUUUUCCACUUGAUUUUUCUACUGCUGUAUCUACGUAUAGCUAUCUUAAUUUCACUAUAUUUUGUUAUUUAAUUUUGAAUUAUAUUUUAUUUACAUAUUUUAAUUUGUAGAUGUGCAGAAAGGGGACCCAUCCCACUAUUUUACAAACCAGAUCUGUAGUAGACAAAAGUUUUCAUGCUUCCUCGUGAACAAUCCACAUUCCUUUGCAAGAAUAAAUUUUAAAGCACACGUUAGUUUUGGCCCCAUGGUUGUGCCCGUAGACCACAUAACUGUAUAUACAAAAACCCAAUCACAUGUGCCAAGUGUGGCGUUGGCAUCCGGUAACCACAGUAGAAGUAAAACUGGCAUUUCACUUUGUAUGCCUGGCAGCUGGGGACAACCAAGCCCAUUGCUUUUACACAGAUUUGCUAUGCGUGAUGAAGUAAUAAUCACUACAUGUUUAAUAAA